UGUGCGCGAGUCACUGGGAUCAUGUCUAAACCCAGAGGCGCAGUGAARGCGUGGGRCUCUCCCGGCAUAAAGCCGUGGCGAGCCGCUAAGGGAGGACGGCCGGUCGUUCCCGAACGGUGCGGCCGGCCAGCACUCCCGGGGCGCCUCGGCUCCGGCCGCAGGCGCACCCGGAGCGCACACGUUGGGACCCGAAAGAUGGUGAACUAUGCCCGGCCAGGACGAAGUCAGGGGAAACCCUGAUGGAGGUCCGCAGCGAUUCUGACGUGCAAAUCGAUCGUCAGAGCUAGGUAUAGGGGCGAAAGACUAAUCGAACCAUCUAGUAGCU
rnacentral:rRNA from 1 species